rnacentral:rRNA from 1 species
GAUGAACGCUAGCUACAGGCUUAACACAUGCAAGUCGAGGGGAAACGAUAUUGGAAGCUUGCUUCUGAUAGGCGUCGACCGGCGCACGGGUGAGUAACGCGUAUCCAACCUGCCCAUCACUUGGGGAUAACCUUGCGAAAGUAAGACUAAUACCCAAUGACGUCUCUAGAAGACAUCUGAAAGAGAUUAAAGAUUUAUCGGUGAUGGAUGGGGAUGCGUCUGAUUAGCUUGUUGGCGGGGUAACGGCCCACCAAGGCGACGAUCAGUAGGGGUUCUGAGAGGAAGGUCCCCCCACAUUGGAACUGAGACACGGUCCAAACUCCUACGGGAGGCAGCAGUGAGGAAUAUUGGUCAAUGGACGAGAGUCUGAACCAGCCAAGUAGCGUGAAGGAUGAAGGUCUUACGGAUUGUAAACUUCUUUUAUAAGGGAAUAAACCCUCCACGUGUGGGAGCUUGUAUGUACCUUAUGAAUAAGCAUCGGCUAACUCCGUGCCAGCAGCCG